AACGCGAAGAACCUUACCAGGGUUUGACAUCCUGCGAAUCCCUUGGAAACGAGGGAGUGCCUUCGGGAACGCAGUACAGGUGGUGCAUGGCUGUCGUCAGCUCGUGUCGUGAGAUGUUGGGUUAAGUCCCGCAACGAGCGCAACCCACGUCUUUAGUUGCCAGCAUUAAGUUGGGCACUCUAGAGAGACUGCCGGUGAUAAACCGGAGGAAGGUGUGGAUGACGUCAAGUCAUCAUGCCCCUUACAUCCUGGGCUACACACGUACUACAAUGCUACGGACAAAGGGCAGCAAACUCGCGAGAGCUAGCAAAUCCCAUAAACCGUGGCUCAGUUCAGAUCGUAGGCUGCAACUCGCCUACUGAAGGAGGAAUCGCUAGUAAUCGCAGGUCAGCAUACUGCGGUGAAUACGUUCCCGGGCCUUGUACACACCG
rnacentral:rRNA from 1 species